rnacentral:lncRNA from 1 species
CUGGCUGUCUUCCAGCAACCUGAUCUCCUGUAGGGCACCAUCAGGGGACAGCAGGCUCCUGAUGCUUAUGGAAGCUGCUUGGCACAGUGCAUGCUUUGCUGGAAACAGACAAGGCUGAAAUAUUUACCAACACUGUCCUGUAGCCCAGUUGAAUAAUCAGACUCAUAAUCUACCCUUCUUUCCCUCUCCCAAGCUCUGCAAGCUUGGCCAGUGAACAAUACAGAUUCACAUGUACACCACAGCCUCCAGCCCCUAAUGAUGAAUGGCACUAGUCUGACAGGCAGCCAGUAAUGUUAACUGGAUGAGGCCUUUGUGGCUGUGUUGCCUCCUGCUUUUUUCACCAGGGUAAAGAUGGUAUGAGCAGCAGUGGAGUUUUGGAGCCAGCAGUCUAGGAGUCCGUCCUCUCCCAGUCCGUGUUGCUGGCAACGCUUGAGAUCCCAACCCAGCGAGCCUUUUUGGUUGAUGGCAGCAGUGUUACACUUGAUAUCCAGACAUUGGACUCUGCAGAAAGAAUAUUGCAAGUAAAGGGCUUCUAGAAUUGUGUUGAAGUUUUCCACUUCAAUUUGGCAAAAAUGGGGAUCGUUUCAGUUAGGAAAGAAUAAAACUCCCUAUUGGAGGAAGU